AUGGCAAGACCCCUCCAGCUAAGAGAUGGGGCUGUAAUUAUGACCACACUCACGCAUUAGUUAAUGAAAAGUCACAGCUUUAUUGAGAGGUUUUCUGGGGGGAGGGGAAGUUUAAAAAAAUCAAAAUUAACAUGGAAACAGAUAAUAAAUAGGCCUUUUAAUAGUCACAUCAUUAUGAUACUAAAGUGCUUUGAGAAAGGCUGUAACAGAACCAGUGUAUAACACACAAGAAAGGGUUUGCAAAUAUCAGAAAAUGUAGUGCAGCAAAAUAUGGUCCAUGGCUGGGUGGCCACCGCCCAGGAAACUGAUGAAGCACGUGAUGCCCACAGCCUAAGGAGAAUUCUGCUCAUUUCACAGUUUAUCCUUAUCUCACUAGUUGAGCUGAAAUGAUCAGAAACAAUCAACUCUGGGAUGGGGGAGGAACCCCUGUCUUUUCCCUCUGUUAGGAAACUGGUCUCCAUCUAUCAUGUACACAUCAUGGAGAGAGGAAGCCAUAGAGCAGAUCCUCUGCUGGGAUAUAUCAGAAAUCAGUGGAGUUAUACCAGCUGAGAAUCUGGGCCUUGUUUUCCUUCUAGCAUUGCUGAGAAGGCAAGACUCUUUAGAACAAUUUUGAUGAGACUCAGACUUGGGUAUAAAGGUCUAUAUUUUGUCCCUCGACACAUGCCAGCAGCUUCCAGAAACUUUAGAGGGACAUGUGUGCAGGUCAACAAAGCCAGAAUUUGACACCAGAACUGGAUUAUUUCCAGGAAAGUCUCCUCAUCCAUCCAUCACCACACUCAUCCCCAUGGUAUCCGAGUACCUCUUGCACAUCUUUCUCCUUUGCACACAGCCCUGCUUAAAGCCAGCUCAUGCUCAUGAGUGCUAUGUGUGGGUAUUGCUGUCUAAUCUGUCUACAGGCAGGGUCAUUAGUGCCGGUUCCUUAUUCCUUUUUUCUAGUGUAUAAACUCAAUA